rnacentral:rRNA from 1 species
AAGUCGAACGCACAGCGAAAGGUGCUUGCACCUUUCAAGUGAGUGGCGAACGGGUGAGUAACACGUGGACAACCUGCCUCAAGGCUGGGGAUAACAUUUGGAAACAGAUGCUAAUACCGAAUGAAACUUAGUGUCGCAUGACACGAAGUUAAAAGGCGCUUUGGCGUCACCUAGAGAUGGAUCCGCGGUGCAUUAGUUAGUUGGUGGGGUAAAGGCCUACCAAGACAAUGAUGCAUAGCCGAGUUGAGAGACUGAUCGGCCACAUUGGGACUGAGACACGGCCCAAACUCCUACGGGAGGCUGCAGUAGGGAAUCUUCCACAAUGGGCGAAAGCCUGAUGGAGCAACGCCGCGUGUGUGAUGAAGGCUUUCGGGUCGUAAAGCACUGUUGUAUGGGAAGAACAGCUAGAAUAGGGAAUGAUUUUAGUUUGACGGUACCAUACCAGAAAGGGACGGCUAAAUACGUGCCAGCAGCCGCGGUAAUACGUAUGUCCCGAGCGUUAUCCGGAUUUAUUGGGCGUAAAGCGAGCGCAGACGGUUGAUUAAGUCUGAUGUGAAAGCCCGGAGCUCAACUCCGGAAUGGCAUUGGAAACUGGUUAACUUGAGUGCAGUAGAGGUAAGUGGAACUCCAUGUGUAGCGGUGGAAUGCGUAGAUAUAUGGAAGAACACCAGUGGCGAAGGCGGCUUACUGGACUGUAACUGACGUUGAGGCUCGAAAGUGUGGGUAGCAAACAGGAUUAGAUACCCUGGUAGUCCACACCGUAAACGAUGAACACUAGGUGUUAGGAGGUUUCCGCCUCUUAGUGCCGAAGCUAACGCAUUAAGUGUUCCGCCUGGGGAGUACGACCGCAAGGUUGAAACUCAAAGGAAUUGACGGGGACCCGCACAAGCGGUGGAGCAUGUGGUUUAAUUCGAAGCAACGCGAA